UACGGAGGGUGCGAGCGUUGUCCGGAAUCACUGGGCGUAAAGGGCGCGUAGGUGGCGCGGAAAGUCAACGGUGAAAGCUGGGGCUCAACCCCGAGUCGGCCGUCGAUACUUCUGGGCUUGAGCACUGUAGAGGCAGAUGGAAUUCCGGGUGUAGCGGUGGAAUGCGUAGAGAUCCGGAAGAACACCGGUGGCGAAGGCGGUCUGCUGGGCAGUAGCUGACACUGAUGCGCGACAGCGUGGGGAGCAAACAGG
rnacentral:rRNA from 1 species